rnacentral:piRNA from 3 species
UACGUAGCAGAGCAGCUCCCUCGCU